rnacentral:rRNA from 1 species
AUUGAACGCUGGCGGCAUGCCUUACACAUGCAAGUCGAACGGCAGCACGGGAGCAAUCCUGGUGGCGAGUGGCGAACGGGUGAGUAAUACAUCGGAACGUGCCCAAUCGUGGGGGAUAACGCAGCGAAAGCUGUGCUAAUACCGCAUACGAUCUACGGAUGAAAGCAGGGGAUCGCAAGACCUUGCGCGAAUGGAGCGGCCGAUGGCAGAUUAGGUAGUUGGUGAGGUAAAGGCUCACCAAGCCGUCGAUCUGUAGCUGGUCUGAGAGGACGACCAGCCACACUGGGACUGAGACACGGCCCAGACUCCUACGGGAGGCAGCAGUGGGGAAUUCUGGACAAUGGGCGAAAGCCUGAUCCAGCCAUGCCGCGUGCAGGAUGAAGGCCUUCGGGUUGUAAACUGCUUUUGUACGGAACGAAACGGCCUUUUCUAAUAAAGAGGGCUAAUGACGGUACCGUAAGAAUAAGCACCGGCUAACUACGUGCCAGCAGCCGCGGUAAUACGUAGGGUGCAAGCGUUAAUCGGAAUUACUGGGCGUAAAGCGUGCGCAGGCGGUUAUGUAAGACAGUUGUGAAAUCCCCGGGCUCAACCUGGGAACUGCAUCUGUGACUGCAUAGCUAGAGUACGGUAGAGGGGGAUGGAAUUCCGCGUGUAGCAGUGAAAUGCGUAGAUAUGCGGAGGAACACCGAUGGCGAAGGCAAUCCCCUGGACCUGUACUGACGCUCAUGCACGAAAGCGUGGGGAGCAAACAGG